rnacentral:rRNA from 1 species
AGACCGAAAGGUGUAAUCGAAAAAAACAGGUUAAUAUUCCUGUGCCUGAUAUGACUGCGAUGGGGUGACGGAGAAGGCUAGCUCAGCAGGCGUUGGUUGCCUGUUUAAGCAUGUAGGGAGUCGCUAGGUAAAUCCGGUGACUCAUAUCCUGAGAUGUGAUGACGAGACCUUUAUUGGUCGAAGUGAGUAACGCCCCGCUUCCAGGAAAAGCCUCUAAGCUUCAGGUCAUAUUGGACCGUACCGAAAACCGACACUGGUGGGCGGGUAGGUAAUCUACCAAGGCGCUUGAGAGAACUCUGGUUAAGGAACUCUGCAAAUUGAUACCGUAACUUCGGGAGAAGGUAUGCCUUCGAUGGUGAUUGGACUUGCUCCAUGAGCUAUUGAAGGUCGCAGGUAAUCGGUGGCUGCGACUGUUUAUCAAAAACACAGGACUCUGCGAACACGUAAGUGGAUGUAUAGGGUCUGACGCCUGCCCGGUGCCGGAAGGUUAAUUGAUGGGGUUAGCGCAAGCGAAGCUCUUGAUCGAAGCCCCGGUAAACGGCGGCCGUAACAAUAACGGUCCUAAGGUAGCGAAAUUCCUUGUCGGGUAAGUUCCGACCUGCACGAAUGGCGUAACGCUGGCCACACUGUCUCGACCAGAGACUCAGUGAAGUUGAAAUCGCUGUGAAGAUGCGGCGUUCCCGCGGAAAGACGGAAAGACCCCGUGAACCUUUACUACAGCUUUACACUGAACUUUGAACCUUCCUGUGUAGGAUAGGUGGGAGGCUUUGAAGCCUGGGCGCUAGCUCAGGUGGAGCCAAUCUUGAAAUACCACCCUGGAAUGUUCGGAGUUCUAACCUUGGUCCGUAAUCCGGAUUGGGGACAGUGUAUGGUGGGUAGUUUGACUGGGGCGGUCUCCUCCCAAAGAGUAACGGAGGAGUGCAAAGGUACGCUCAGCGCGGUCGGUCAUCGCGCUCUAGAGUGCAAAGGCAUAAGCGUGCUUAACUGUGAGACGGACAUGUCGAACAGGUACGAAAGUAGGUCUUAGUGAUCCGGUGGUUCUGUAUGGAAGGGCCAUCGCUCAACGGAUAAAAGGUACUCCGGGGAUAACAGGCUUAUUCCGCCCAAGAGUCCACAUCGACGGCGGAGUUUGGCACCUCGAUGUCGGCUCAUCACAUCCUGGGGCUGUAGCAGGUCCCAAGGGUAUGGCUGUUCGCCAUUUAAAGUGGUACGCGAGCUGGGUUCAGAACGUCGUGAGACAGAUCGGUCCCUAUCUUCCGUGGGCGUUGGAAACUUGAGGGUGAGCUGUCCUUAGUACGAGAGGACCGGGAUGGACGUAUCUCUGGUGUUCCGGUUGUCACGCCAGUGGCACUGCCGGGUAGCUAUAUACGGACGGGAUAAUCGCUGAAAGCAUCUAAGCGAGAAGCCCCCCCCAAGAUUAGGUUUCCCUGGGAGCUUGACUCCCCUAAAGGGCCGUCGAAGACUACGACGUUGAUAGGUUGGGUGUGUACAGGUAGUAAUAUCUUGAGCUAACCAAUACUAAUUGCCCGUGAGACUUGAUC